rnacentral:rRNA from 1 species
ACGCUCGACACCUACGGAGGCAGCAGUGGGGAAUAUUGCACAAUGGGGGAAACCCUGAUGCAGCGACGCCGCGUGAGCGAAGAAGUAUUUCGGUAUGUAAAGCUCUAUCAGCAGGGAAGAAACUGACGGUACCUGACUAAGAAGCACCGGCUAAAUACGUCACGCAGCCGCGGUAAUCUGAGCGGGCUGGCAAGGC